rnacentral:ncRNA from 25 species
GCCAUCGAAAAGGGGUGCCUUGUUCAUUCAGAACACGAAAAAGGCUGAGAUUAUACCCUGUCCUGCUUAGCAGGACACACCUGAUCUGGAUAAUGCCAGCGUAGGGAAGGGCGGUUAAAUUGUAA